UUAAGCGACUAAGCGUACACGGUGGAUGCCCUGGCAGUCAGAGGCGAUGAAGGACGUGCUAAUCUGCGAUAAGCGUCGGUAAGGUGAUAUGAACCGUUAUAACCGGCGAUUUCCGAAUGGGGAAACCCAGUGUGAUUCGUCACACUAUCAUUAACUGAAUCCAUAGGUUAAUGAGGCGAACCGGGGGAACUGAAACAUCUAAGUACCCCGAGGAAAAGAAAUCAACCGAGAUUCCCCCAGUAGCGGCGAGCGAACGGGGAGCAGCCCAGAGCCUGAAUCAGUGUGUGUGUUAGUGGAAGCGUCUGGAAAGGCGCGCGAUACAGGGUGACAGCCCCGUACACAAAAAUGCACAUACUGUGAGCUCGAUGAGUAGGGCGGGACACGUGGUAUCCUGUCUGAAUAUGGGGGACCAUCCUCCAAGGCUAAAUACCCUGACUGACCGAUAGUGAACCAGUACCGUGAGGAAAGGCGAAAAGAACCCCGGCGAGGGAGUGAAAAGAACCUGAAACCGUGUACGUACAAGCAGUGGGAGCCUCUUAAUGGGGUGACUGCGUACCUUUUGUAUAAUGGGUCAGCGACUUAUAUUCUGUAGCAAGGUUAACCGAAUAGGGGAGCCGAAGGGAAACCGAGUCUUAACUGGGCGUUAAGUUGCAGGGUAUAGACCCGAAACCCGGUGAUCUAGCCAUGGGCAGGUUGAAGGUUGGGUAACACUAACUGGAGGACCGAACCGACUAAUGUUGAAAAAUUAGCGGAUGACUUGUGGCUGGGGGUGAAAGGCCAAUCAAACCGGGAGAUAGCUGGUUCUCCCCGAAAGCUAUUUAGGUAGCGCCUCGUGAAUUCAUCUCCGGGGGUAGAGCACUGUUUCGGCAAGGGGGUCAUCCCGACUUACCAACCCGAUGCAAACUGCGAAUACCGGAGAAUGUUAUCACGGGAGACACACGGCGGGUGCUAACGUCCGUCGUGAAGAGGGAAACAACCCAGACCGCCAGCUAAGGUCCCAAAGUCAUGGUUAAGUGGGAAACGAUGUGGGAAGGCCCAGACAGCCAGGAUGUUGGCUUAGAAGCAGCCAUCAUUUAAAGAAAGCGUAAUAGCUCACUGGUCGAGUCGGCCUGCGCGGAAGAUGUAACGGGGCUAAACCAUGCACCGAAGCUGCGGCAGCGACACUAUGUGUUGUUGGGUAGGGGAGCGUUCUGUAAGCCUGUGAAGGUGUACUGUGAGGUAUGCUGGAGGUAUCAGAAGUGCGAAUGCUGACAUAAGUAACGAUAAAGCGGGUGAAAAGCCCGCUCGCCGGAAGACCAAGGGUUCCUGUCCAACGUUAAUCGGGGCAGGGUGAGUCGACCCCCUAAGGCGAGGCCGAAAGGCGUAGUCGAUGGGAAACAGGUUAAUAUUCCUGUACUUGGUGUUACUGCGAAGGGGGGACGGAGAAGGCUAUGUUGGCCGGGCGACGGUUGUCCCGGUUUAAGCGUGUAGGCUGGUUUUCCAGGCAAAUCCGGAAAAUCAAGGCUGAGGCGUGAUGACGAGGCACUACGGUGCUGAAGCAACAAAUGCCCUGCUUCCAGGAAAAAGCCUCUAAGCAUCAGGUAACAUCAAAUCGUACCCCAAACCGACACAGGUGGUCAGGUAGAGAAUACCAAGGCGCUUGAGAGAACUCGGGUGAAGGAACUAGGCAAAAUGGUGCCGUAACUUCGGGAGAAGGCACGCUGAUAUGUAGGUGAAGUCCCUUGCGGAUGGAGCUGAAAUCAGUCGAAGAUACCAGCUGGCUGCAACUGUUUAUUAAAAACACAGCACUGUGCAAACACGAAAGUGGACGUAUACGGUGUGACGCCUGCCCGGUGCCGGAAGGUUAAUUGAUGGGGUUAGCGGUAACGCGAAGCUCUUGAUCGAAGCCCCGGUAAACGGCGGCCGUAACUAUAACGGUCCUAAGGUAGCGAAAUUCCUUGUCGGGUAAGUUCCGACCUGCACGAAUGGCGUAAUGAUGGCCAGGCUGUCUCCACCCGAGACUCAGUGAAAUUGAACUCGCUGUGAAGAUGCAGUGUACCCGCGGCAAGACGGAAAGACCCCGUGAACCUUUACUAUAGCUUGACACUGAACAUUGAGCCUUGAUGUAGGAUAGGUGGGAGGCUUUGAAGUGUGGACGCCAGUCUGCAUGGAGCCGACCUUGAAAUACCACCCUUUAAUGUUUGAUGUUCUAACGUUGGCCCCUAAUCGGGGUUGCGGACAGUGUCUGGUGGGUAGUUUGACUGGGGCGGUCUCCUCCUAAAGAGUAACGGAGGAGCACGAAGGUUGGCUAAUCCUGGUCGGACAUCAGGAGGUUAGUGCAAUGGCAUAAGCCAGCUUGACUGCGAGCGUGACGGCGCGAGCAGGUGCGAAAGCAGGUCAUAGUGAUCCGGUGGUUCUGAAUGGAAGGGCCAUCGCUCAACGGAUAAAAGGUACUCCGGGGAUAACAGGCUGAUACCGCCCAAGAGUUCAUAUCGACGGCGGUGUUUGGCACCUCGAUGUCGGCUCAUCACAUCUGGGGCUGAAGUAGGUCCCAAGGGUAUGGCUGUUCGCCAUUUAAAGUGGUACGCGAGCUGGGUUUAGAACGUCGUGAGACAGUUCGGUCCCUAUCUGCCGUGGGCGCUGGAGAACUGAGGGGGGCUGCUCCUAGUACGAGAGGACCGGAGUGGACGCAUCACUGGUGUUCGGGUUGUCAUGCCAAUGGCACUGCCCGGUAGCUAAAUGCGGAAGAGAUAAGUGCUGAAAGCAUCUAAGCACGAAACUUGCCCCGAGAUGAGUUCUCCCUGACUCCCUGAGAGUCCUGAAGGAACGUUGAAGACGACGACGUUGAUAGGCCGGGUGUGUAAGCGCAGCGAUGCGUUGAGCUAACCGGUACUAAUGAACCGUGAGGCUUAACCU
rnacentral:rRNA from 1 species